rnacentral:tRNA from 1 species
UGGCUCAGUGGUUAAGAGCACUGAUUGCUCCUCCAGAGGACCUGGGUUCAAUUCCCAG